rnacentral:rRNA from 1 species
CCUACGGGGGGCAGCGGUGAGGAAUAUUGGUCAAUGGACGAGAGUCUGAACCAGCCAAGUAGCGUGAAGGAUGACUGCCCUAUGGGUUGUAAACUUCUUUUAUAUGGGAAUAAAAUGUUCCACGUGUGGGAUUUUGUAUGUACCAUAUGAAUAAGGAUCGGCUAACUCCGUGCCAGCAGCCGCGGUAAUACGGAGGAUCCGAGCGUUAUCCGGAUUUAUUGGGUUUAAAGGGAGCGUAGGUGGAUUGUUAAGUCAGUUGUGAAAGUUUGCGGCUCAACCGUAAAAUUGCAGUUGAAACUGGCAGUCUUGAGUACAGUAGAGGUGGGCGGAAUUCGUGGUGUAGCGGUGAAAUGCUUAGAUAUCACGAAGAACUCCGAUUGCGAAGGCAGUUCACUGGACUGCAACUGACACUGAGGCUCGAAAGUGUGGGUAUCAAACAGGAUUAGAUACCCUAGUAGUC